UAAUGGUUUGAACAUAAUCCAAUUAAAUAAAUAAUCUAAGAUUUCUAUAUUGACAUUUCUAGGGCCUUAUUUCUUAACCAAACACCAUACCAGUUAUGAACUAGUUAGGAAAACAACCAGUGUAAAUAUUUUAAGCUCAAAGAAACAUAGUACAGGAAACCAGAAGCUUUCGCACACGUUGGAAGGACUGAAACCUCACCUAUUGAACUCAGGAAGAAAGCAUAGGUCCAAAAGCUGAUGGUGACAGCAACUAUGACCCCAUUUACUACUGGCUCCAAUAGUCUAUCGAGGGAGAUUUAGCAACCUGUUCUCAAUACUCUGACUAUACAAAUUUGAGAUUCCUAGCCCUCAUAAAAGCCAUGUUGUUGCCAAAAGAUGCAAGAUAUGAAACUAAAAGUUAUAGCUACGAUCAAAGAAUUUGGCUUCCCUGUGCUGGGACCAACAGACUAGAGAGGAAUCAAGAUCUUGACAAAAGUAACUGAUUGAAAAACUCUAAUGGUGUGCAGAAAUAUGUAUGAAACCCAUCUGAUUCACUUGGAUGCUUCCUGGCAUAUUCUUUGAUCAACUGUCACUGUUGGAAACGUGCGGCCAAUCCAGACCCAGAAGGGCUUACUUCUUAGAAUGCUUUUAGGUACUGAGUUGAUUGCAAAGAUGAGGGUAAUUUAGAAAGGAGUGGAAGAAGGAGUAGAUGAAUACCACUUGUGGACUGAAAACCACCUGUAGCAAUAAAAGACACCAUAUCACCACUAA